rnacentral:rRNA from 1 species
UGAACUUAAGCAUAUCAAUAAGCGGAGGAAAAGAAACCAACAGGGAUUGCCCCAGUAACGGCGAGUGAAGCGGCAACAGCUCAAAUUUGAAAUCUGGCCCCCCGGCCCGAGUUGUAAUUUGCAGAGGAAGCUUCGGGCGAGGCCCCUGCUGAGUCCCCUGGAACGGGGCGCCAUAGAGGGUGAGAGCCCCGUAUAGCAGGAUGCCGACCCUGUGUGAAGCUCCUUCGACGAGUCGAGUAGUUUGGGAAUGCUGCUCUAAAUGGGAGGUAAAUUUCUUCUAAAGCUAAAUACUGGCCAGAGACCGAUAGCGCACAAGUAGAGUGAUCGAAAGAUGAAAAGCACUUUGAAAAGAGGGUUAAACAGCACGUGAAAUUGUUGAAAGGGAAGCGCUUGUGACCAGACUUGCGCCCGGCGGAUCACCUGGCGUUCUCGCCAGUGCACUCCGCCGGGCUCAGGCCAGCAUCGGUUCUCGCGGGGGGACAAAGGUUCGGGGAACGUGGCUCCUCUGGAGUGUUAUAGCCCCGGGCGCAAUGCCCUCGCGGGGACCGAGGACCGCGCAUCUGCAAGGAUGCUGGCGUAAUGGUCAUCAGCGACCCGUCUUGAAACACGGACCAAGGAGUCAAGGUUUUGCGCGAGUGUUUGGGUGUGAAACCCGCACGCGUAAUGAAAGUGAACGUAGGUGAGAGCUUCGGCGCAUCAUCGACCGAUCCUGAUGUACUCGGAUGGAUUUGAGUAGGAGCGUUAAGCCUUGGACCCGAAAGAUGGUGAACUAUGCUUGGAUAGGGUGAAGCCAGAGGAAACUCUGGUGGAGGCUCGCAGCGGUUCUGACGUGCAAAUCGAUCGUCAAAUCUGAGCAUGGGGGCGAAAGACUAAUCGAACCAUCUAGUAGCUGGUUACCGCCGAAGUUUCCCUCAGGAUAGCAGUGUUGUUCUUCAGUUUUAUGAGGUAAAGCGAAUGAUUAGGGACUCGGGGGCGCCUUUUAGCCUUCAUCCAUUCUCAAACUUUAAAUAUGUAAGAAGCCCUUGUUGCUUAGCUGAACGUGGGCGUUCGAAUGUACCAACACUAGUGGGCCAUUUUUGGUAAGCAGAACUGGCG